rnacentral:rRNA from 1 species
UACGUAGGGGGCUAGCGUUGUCCGGAUUUAUUGGGCGUAAAGCGCGUGUAGGCGGCCAGAUAGGUCUGCUGUGAAAACUCGAGGCUCAACCUCGAGCUGUCGGCGGAAACCAUUCGGCUAGAGUCCGGAAGAGGAGAGUGGAAUUCCCGGUGUAGCGGUGAAAUGCGCAGAUAUCGGGAAGAACACCUGUGGCGAAGGCGGGUCUCUGGGCCGAUACUGACGCUGAGGAGCGAAAGCGUGGGGAGCGAACAGG